rnacentral:rRNA from 1 species
CCUACGGGUGGCAGCAGUGGGGAAUAUUGGACAAUGGGCGAAAGCCUGAUCCAGCCAUGCCGCGUGAGUGAAGAAGGCCUUCGGGUUGUAAAGCACUUUCAGUGGGGAAGAAAGCCUUGGGGCUAAUACCCUCGAGGAAGGACAUCACCCACAGAAGAAGCACCGGCUAACUCCGUGCCAGCAGCCGCGGUAAUACGGAGGGUGCGAGCGUUAAUCGGAAUUACUGGGCGUAAAGCGCGCGUAGGCGGUCUGAUAAGCCGGUUGUGAAAGCCCCGGGCUCAACCUGGGAACGGCAUCCGGAACUGUCAGGCUAGAGUGCAGGAGAGGAAGGUAGAAUUCCCGGUGUAGCGGUGAAAUGCGUAGAGAUCGGGAGGAAUACCAGUGGCGAAGGCGGCCUUCUGGACUGACACUGACGCUGAGGUGCGAAAGCGUGGGUAGCAAACAGGAUUAGAUACCCGAGUAGUC